GGGUCUAGCAAGCUAUUAACAUAGCAGGGGAUAAGAAAAUCUUAAUUAAACAGAACUUGCAAUUAAGAAAGCCUAAAUAGGGCUCUCUUUACAGGAAGUGUUUAUGGAAGCCUGUGCAAGUCACAUGGAGGGAGGUGUGACUAGGGUUCAUAGACAAAGGGAUUUAACUCCUAAAUGGCAGAGAAUUGAGCAGUGAGGCUGCAGGGGCAUGUUCUAUACACCCAAACUGCUUCAUUAAGCUUAAGUUGUUCAGGUGACUAUAUAGUGUCCCUUUAAUUCACAUCACCUUCCCCUUCUACUAAUCUAACGGCUAUCAAACUAGCAUUCUACGUCACUGGUAUGAUCAACAACAGACGAAAAGAAAUUGCCUCUUUAUCCUCAGACUGUCUGGCAUCCUCUACACAAAAAAAGUCUUCUCUAGUUUCUGAACUUCUACUUUAUUCCUGUUCUUCUGUGUGACUCCUUAAACCCUCGAUCUCACAUCAGUGACAAUUUAAUCUUUUACUAGACUUAUUCUCCCUCUUUCCUCUGGCAUUUUUCCCCUUGUACUUCAAACACCCAUACUACAAAGUCUUCUCUUGACCUAGAUGCUUUGCUUAGCUAUCCCUUUGCUUCCAAACUCCUUGAAAUGCUUCCUUAAACAUAGCAUGGGUCACAAACUGAUCCAUACUCCUUACUUGACCCACUAGUGUGGCUUCCCCUCCCAACAUUCCACUGCCCUGACCAAGGUAACUAAUGACUGUCACAGUAAAAUCUAGUGACGACUAUUCGCUACUUAAUGUUUCUGCAGCUUUCGACACAGUUGACUACUUGCUUCUCCUUCAAAACCUUAGUGUGUUUUCUUCCUGUAGGUCUAACCGCUCCUUUAAGGUCUUCUCUGGUUCCUACUCCCCUUCUGUACCUCUCAGUGUGAGUUCCUAAAGGUUCGGAGCUCUUUUUUCAAUUUAGAUUUCCUAUCUUGGUGACAUAUCAUCCCAUGGCUUUCAAUAUCACUUCUACGCUGAUUAUAUUCAGACUCCGCUUCUCUCAUCUUUCUAUCUGAUGGAAGAUCUCACCAGCUACCUAUCUAUUUCUGACUACAUAACUACAAAAAAACAAAACAAACCUACUUGCCUGUCCUCCCUCUAAGGCUACAUUUGGAAGGAAACUGGAGAGGGAGAAGAAGGAAACUGGAGAGGGAGAAGAAGGAAACUGGAGAGGGAGAAGAAGGAAACUGGAGAGGGAGAAGAAGGAAACUGGAGAGGGAGAAGAAGGAAACUGGAGAGGGAGAAGAAGGAAACUGGAGAGGGAGAAGAAGGAAACUGGAGAGGGAGAAGAAGGAAACUGGAGAGGGAGAAGGGGAGA